UGGGGAAUAUUGGGCAAUGGGCGCAAGCCUGACCCAGCAACGCCGCGUGAGGGAAGAAGGUCUUCGGAUUGUAAACCUCUGUCCUAUGGGACGAAGAAGUGACGGUACCAUAGGAGGAAGCUCCGGCUAACUACGUGCCAGCAGCCGCGGUAAUACGUAGGGAGCGAGCGUUGUCCGGAAUUACUGGGCGUAAAGGGUGCGUAGGCGGCAGGGCAAGUCAGAUGUGAAAUCCCCGGGCUUAACUCGGGGGGUGCAUUUGAAACUACCUUGCUUGAGUGCAGGAGAGGAAAGCGGAAUUCCUAGUGUAGCGGUGAAAUGCGUAGAUAUUAGGAAGAACACCAGUGGCGAAGGCGGCUUUCUGGACUGUAACGGACGCUGAUGCACGAAAGCGUGGGGAGCAAACAG
rnacentral:rRNA from 1 species